GGAUGGGCCCGCGUCCCAUUAGCUGGUUGGUGAGGUAAAGGCCCACCAAGGCAACGAUGGGUAUCCGGCCUGAGAGGGUGAACGGACACAUUGGGACUGAGAUACGGCCCAAACUCCUACGGGAGGCAGCAGCUAAGAAUCUUCCGCAAUGGACGAAAGUCUGACGGAGCGACGCCGUGUGAAUGAAGAAGGCCGAAAGGUUGUAAAAUUCUUUUGCAGAUGAAGAAUAAGAAGAAGAGGGAAUGCUUCUUUGAUGACGGUAGUCAUG
rnacentral:rRNA from 1 species